UACGGAGGGUGCGAGCGUUAAUCGGAAUGACUGGGCGUAAAGGGCACGUAGGCGGUACGUUAAGUCGGAUGUGAAAUCCCCGGGCUCAACCUGGGAAUGGCAUUCGAAACUGGCGCGCUAGAGUUUUGUAGAGGGGGGUAGAAUUCCACGUGUAGCGGUGAAAUGCGUAGAGAUGUGGAGGAAUACCGGUGGCGAAGGCGGCCCCCUGGACAGGAACUGACGCUGAGGUGCGAAAGCGUGGGGAGCAAACAGG
rnacentral:rRNA from 1 species